rnacentral:rRNA from 1 species
UGGGGAAUAUUGGGCAAUGGACGAAAGUCUGACCCAGCUACGCCGCGUGAGUGAUAAGGCCUUCGGGUUGUAAAACUCUGUCGUGAGGGAGGAAUUUUGACGUUACCUCACAAGAAAGCACCGGCUAAAUCCGUGCCAGCAGCCGCGGUAAUACGGAUGGUGCAAGCGUUGCUCGGAAUUACUGGGCGUAAAGCGAGUGCAGGCGGAUUAUUAAGCCAGAUGUGAAAGCCCGGAGCUCAACUCCGGAACUGCAUCUGGAACUGGUAAUCUAGAGGCAGUGAGAGGGAAGUAGAAUUCCUGGUGUAGAGGUGAAAUUCGUUGAUAUCAGGAGGAAUACCUGUGGCGAAGGCGGCUUCCUGGCACUGUUCUGACGCUAAAGCUCGAAAGCGUGGGUAGCAAACAGG